AACACUUACUAGCUGUGUGACCCUGGGCAAGUCACUUAACCCCAUUGCCUAGACCCCAAAAAAAAAGGCAAUAAUCAGAGUAGGGAGCCUACAGAUAUUCUCUUGUAGAGUUAGUUUCCACCUCUCCUCCCCCCACCAUAGGGCUAAUAUAUCAAUGAAAGCACAAACCUAUUACUAAAAGAAAACAAAACAAUUGGUCUUUGUCACGAAUGCUAUUUCUUUGUAGAGAAGUUUAUAGAUUUGCACAUUUUUCCUUCUUGAUAUUUGUUUGACUUCUCCAUGCAGGAAUAUCAUUCUAACCCAGGAAAGUGCCAUGAAGGAACAAGCCAGGUGGCAUAUUUGCCAAAUAAUAAAGAAGGACGGCGAGUUUUGAGUCUCCUCCAAAGAGCUUUUGACCAAAAGUUGAUUUUCACAAUAAGACAGUCUCAGACAUUAGAAAUGAAGGAUGUGAUCACUUGGAAUGAUAUACACCAUAAAACUCAACCAUUUGGUGGACCAGAAAACUUUGGUUACCCCAAUCCCAACUAUCUGGAACGAGUCAAGCUGGAACUGAAGGCAAAAGGGAUUGAGUAAGAGUGCUGGCUUGCAAAAGCUGCAGCUGUGGAAAGGAAUCCAAGCAAUCAUUAAAAUAUAUGUGUAUAGGCACCAUUUAGAGACAAAGAAAAGAAUAUGAGAAGAAAUCAGAUUGUUUAGGGGCGAGUGGGAUGAACUGCUAUCUGCUAACCUUAAUUUCUUAGAGAUUUUAUUUUUUAUUAGACAAACUGAAAGCCUGGUAGAAAUGUAAACGUUGCUCUAGUAAGAACCCAGUGUAUCUCUUGGUGCUUUCCUGCUUUUCUCCACUUUGCUGUCACCAGGGAUACUGGAGUUAAGAAAUCUUCCAUUGUACCACUUGCACAAGGUGCUGACUGCCCUUCAGGUGCACUCACGUUGUUUGUGGUAAUUUGUUGGUGGCCUCAAAUGCACUGGGGCUAGCUCCCUUUUAACUGGAAUGGUUGCCGGGAACAUUAAAAGAUGGGAAGAUACUUUGAAGAAAUUUAUAGUCUCCAAAUACUUGUGUGAGUCCUUCCUUUGAGAAAGAAACUAUCCGUCUAUGGGGCUCUAGCAAAUUUAACGCAAAUUGAAGAGUGGGGAAAGAUAUUUCUCUCUUCACUAAAGUCCAGUGACUUCCAAUCACUUUUAGGAACAAAUCUAAAGGCCUCUGUUUGGCAUUCAAAACCCUUCAUGCCCUUGGCCUUCACUUUACUUCCCUACUAUAUCUUCUGUGAUUCAAUAAUACUGACUUCCUUGAUGUGCCUUGCACAAAGAAACUCCAUCUCACCUGAUCAUACAUUUUCACCAGAUAAGUCCCCCAUGCCUGCAGUUCUUGCCUUCUCAUUUCCACCUACUGGCUUCCCUAAUUUCUUUCUAGUCCUACCUAAAAUCCCACUUUCUACAUGAAGCCUUUCCCCAAUCUCCUUACUACUAGUGCCUUUCCUCUGUGGAUUAUCUCCAAUUUAUCCUGCACGUAGCUUGUUCGUACAUAGCGUUUGCAUAGUUCUUCCCCAUUAGACUAUUAGCUAAUUGAGAGCAGAGAAUAUCUUUUGCCUUCUUUUGUAUCCCCAGCACUUAGCACAGUGCCUAUCACAUAGUAGGCACUUAAUAAAUACUUGCUGACUGACUGACUAUGGGCAGGCUCAUUGACUUGGGAAUCAGAGUGUCCAGAUUAAUAGGCAACUGGCAUUGGCUUGUGUGCUGUCCUGGUUCUCUUCAUUCUUAGCUCACCUUUUGGGGUGCACCUUGUGGCAAUUGCUCUGUUUUUUUCUAGCUUAGUGAGAAUACAUUCAUACCCACAUAUUUUCUGACUUUUAACCUCCACAACAUUUUCUGCUCAAUUUGCCAUUCUUCUAGGUGCCCCCUGAAAAGUAUAGUUGUAGAGCAAUGGAUAAUAUGCCCGUUCCUUUCUGAAUGAACCCACCUCUUCUAUUUGCUACACAGAAAUAUCCAUUAGGAUCUUAAAUACUGGAUCCUGUGGCAUUGCUUGGAGAAUGAAACAGAACCUAUGAUACAGAGGGGUUCCUUUCCCAGUUACAAAGAGAUUAUUGGUGAUAAUGCAUGUUAUGCCAGGGAAGAAGGUUAAUGAUCUUUAGUUGGUUCUUCUCUAAACAAUUAACUCAUUUGGAUCUGCUUCUAUGCUUAUGUUAGGGGAGGCAUGAUUUAAUGGCUGUGUCAGAUGCUUCUAAUAAAGUAAAAACUGUGUGAUGAUCAGACUGGAA